CGCGGGGUGGAGCAGUGGAAGCUCACCGGCCCCAUUCGCCGGAGGACGCCGGUUCGAAUCCGGCCCCCGCUACCA
rnacentral:tRNA from 1 species